UACAUGCAAGUCGUACGCACUGGCCCAACUGAUUGAUGGUGCUUGCACCUGAUUGACGAUGGAUUACCAGUGAGUGGCGGACGGGUGAGUAACACGUAGGUAACCUGCCCCGGAGCGGGGGAUAACAUUUGGAAACAGAUGCUAAUACCGCAUAACAACAAAAGCCACAUGGCUUUUGUUUGAAAGAUGGCUUUGGCUAUCACUCUGGGAUGGACCUGCGGUGCAUUAGCUAGUUGGUAAGGUAACGGCUUACCAAGGCGAUGAUGCAUAGCCGAGUUGAGAGACUGAUCGGCCACAAUGGAACUGAGACACGGUCCAUACUCCUACGGGAGGCAGCAGUAGGGAAUCUUCCACAAUGGGCGCAAGCCUGAUGGAGCAACACCGCGUGAGUGAAGAAGGGUUUCGGCUCGUAAAGCUCUGUUGUUGGAGAAGAACGUGCGUGAGAGUAACUGUUCACGCAGUGACGGUAUCCAACCAGAAAGUCACGGCUAACUACGUGCCAGCAGCCGCGGUAAUACGUAGGUGGCAAGCGUUAUCCGGAUUUAUUGGGCGUAAAGCGAGCGCAGGCGGUUGCUUAGGUCUGAUGUGAAAGCCUUCGGCUUAACCGAAGAAGUGCAUCGGAAACCGGGCGACUUGAGUGCAGAAGAGGACAGUGGAACUCCAUGUGUAGCGGUGGAAUGCGUAGAUAUAUGGAAGAACACCAGUGGCGAAGGCGGCUGUCUGGUCUGCAACUGACGCUGAGGCUCGAAAGCAUGGGUAGCGAACAGGAUUAGAUACCCUGGUAGUCCAUGCCGUAAACGAUGAGUGCUAGGUGUUGGAGGGUUUCCGCCCUUCAGUGCCGGAGCUAACGCAUUAAGCACUCCGCCUGGGGAGUACGACCGCAAGGUUGAAACUCAAAGGAAUUGACGGGGGCCCGCACAAGCGGUGGAGCAUGUGGUUUAAUUCGAAGCUACGCGAAGAACCUUACCAGGUCUUGACAUCUUGCGCUAACCUUAGAGAUAAGGCGUUCCCUUCGGGGACGCAAUGACAGGUGGUGCAUGGUCGUCGUCAGCUCGUGUCGUGAGAUGUUGGGUUAAGUCCCGCAACGAGCGCAACCCUUGUUACUAGUUGCCAGCAUUAAGUUGGGCACUCUAGUGAGACUGCCGGUGACAAACCGGAGGAAGGUGGGGACGACGUCAGAUCAUCAUGCCCCUUAUGACCUGGGCUACACACGUGCUACAAUGGACGGUACAACGAGUCGCAAGCUCGCGAGAGUAAGCUAAUCUCUUAAAGCCGUUCUCAGUUCGGACUGUAGGCUGCAACUCGCCUACACGAAGUCGGAAUCGCUAGUAAUCGCGGAUCAGCAUGCCGCGGUGAAUACGUUCCCGGGCCUUGUACACACCGCCCGUCACACCAUGGGAGUUUGUAACGCCCAAAGUCGGUGGCCUAACCUUUAUGGAGGGAGC
rnacentral:rRNA from 2 species